rnacentral:rRNA from 1 species
ACGUGUUACAAUGGCAGGUACAGAGGGGUGCUACCGGGUGACCGGAUGCCGAUCUCGAAAACCUGUCCCAGUUCGGACUGGAGUCUGCAACCCGACUCCACGAAGUUGGAUUCGCUAGUAAUCGCGCAUCAGCCAUGGCGCGGUGAAUACGUUCCCGGGCCUUGUACACACCGCCCGUCAAGCCAUGGGAGCCGGGGGCGCCUGAAGUCCGGGACCGCGAGGACCGGCCUAGGGCGAAACUGGUGACUGGGGCUAAGUCGUAACAAGGUACC